GGGCCCAUAGCUCAGUGGUAGAGCUCCCGGCUCAUAACCGGUCGGUCAUAGGUUCGAAUCCUAUUGGGCCCACCA
rnacentral:tRNA from 2 species